AAACUUUCAACAACGGAUCUCUUGGUUCUCGCAUCGAUGAAGAACGCAGCGAAAUGCGAUACGUAAUGUGAAUUGCAGAAUUCCGUGAAUCAUCGAAUCUUUGAACGCACAUUGGCCCCUUGGUAUUCCAGGGGGCAUGCUGUUUGAGCGUCAUUU
rnacentral:rRNA from 1 species